rnacentral:rRNA from 1 species
UACACGUGGAUAACCUACCCUUGAGACGGGGAUAAACCCGGGAAACUGGGUAUAAUACCCGAUAGAUCUCGACUGCUGGAAUGCAUCGAGCUUGAAAGCUCCGGCGCUCAAGGAUGGAUCUGCGGCCUAUCAGGUAGUAGUGGGUGUAGCGUACCUACUAGCCUACGACGGGUACGGGUUGUGAGAGCAAGAGCCCGGAGAUGGAUUCUGAGACACGAAUCCAGGCCCUACGGGGUGCAGCAGGCGCGAAAACUUUACAAUGCUGGCAACAGCGAUAAGGGGACCUCGAGUGCCAGGUUACAAAUCUGGCUGUCGUGAUGCCUAAAAAGCAUUGCAUAGCAAGGGCCGGGCAAGACCGGUGCCAGCCGCCGCGGUAACACCGGCGGCUCGAGUGGUAACCGUUAUUAUUGGGUCUAAAGGGUCUGUAGCCGGCCGGAUAAGUCUCUUGGGAAAUCUGGCAGCUUAACUGUCAGGCUUUCAGGAGAUACUGUCUGGCUUGGAACCGGGAGAGGUAAGAGGUACUACAGGGGUAGGAGUGAAAUCUUGUAAUCCCUGUGGGACCACCUGUGGCGAAGGCGUCUUACCAGAACGGGUUCGACGGUGAGGGACGAAAGCUGGGGGCACGAACCGGAUUAGAUACCCGGGUAGUCCCAGCCGUAAACGAUGCUCGCUAGGUGUCAGGCAUGGCGCGACCGUGUCUGGUGCCGCAGGGAAGCCCGUGAAGCGAGCCACCUGGAA